GUUUGCGUGUCUGAGUGGUUUAAGGUGCCAUCCUGCUAAGAUGGUGUGCGGCAACGCACCGAAGGUUCGAAUCCUUCCGCAAACG
rnacentral:tRNA from 1 species